AACGAACGCUGGCGGCAUGCCUAACACAUGCAAGUCGAACGAGACAUUCGGGUUUAGUGGCGUACUGAUGCGUAAAGCGUGGGAACAUGCCCUGAGGUUCGGAAUAAAUCCCCGAAAGGGGUGCUAAUACCGGAUAAUAUCUUCCAUACAAAGGUUUAUUGACCGUGGAUGGGCUCGCGUUGGAUCAGCUGGUUGGGAGGGUAAAAGCGUCCGAAGGGGACGAGCGAUAACUGGUCUGUGAGGCUGGUUACCCACACUGGGACUGAGACACGGCCCAGAAUCCUACGGGAGGCAGCAGUGCGGGAUCUUGGAAAGUCGGCUAAGUACUGAUGGAGCUCUGCUUCGAGAGCGCUGCAGGCCUUGGGGUUGUACAGUUCUUUUAACCGGGAUGAUUUUGACGGUACCGGCAGAAUAAGCACCGGCUAACUCCGUG
rnacentral:rRNA from 1 species